rnacentral:lncRNA from 1 species
AUUCAGGAGCGUUCCAGAGACAGUUAACUCUUCAAUCAUGUUGGUUUACCAGGAUCUCCUUACCGGUAAUUCUAAUCACUCUCAUCAAUCCAUCGCUUCAAUUUUCCGUUUUUUAUUAUUAGAUCUAUUUGAAUUCUGUAUCCAAUUAUGACUUUUACUUAUUGAAUUAUUCUUGUUGUUAUUUUAAUUCAUUGGAUCUGGUGAUUAUUUUGUUUUUUGUAUUGUUUUUGAUUCAUUUGAUGCAUAUUCUGAUUAUUUGUGCUGGUUAAGAACACGAAGAUAUAGUUUUUUUUUUUUUUUUUUUUGAAAAUUUUAAUAUUUUUCAUUGUUUUAUAAAAAUCAUCUAUAUUUUCUGUUUUCACGCUCAAAAGUACCGAUUUUUAAAAUCGAGAAUCCAUUAUUUUUAUUUGUGCAGCAUAUUAGGUAUCACUUAUUAAGUUUCGUAUUGUCUGUGCUCUGUUUUAUUGAUUAUUCCUUCUGUUAUAUUGUUCUUUUUAAGUUUAAGUUUAUGUUAAAAAGUUAAAAUUUUGGAUGAGAUCGAGGGAAUUUUAUGAUUACCUUAUAAUUGUUAAGUUAAUGAUUGAUUUUAUAUAGAUCUCCUGUUUGUGAAUAUGAUGCAUGAUGCAGUUGCCAUAGUUCAGCAAUUCUAACCAAUAGGAUUAAGAUCGGAUGGCUCAUGUUCUGAUCUCAUAUUUAAAUUUUAUACUCAAUAGUCAGAUCUUGAUUUGUACGAUCUCAAUCCAAACGAAUUGGUUGGCUACAGGGGCUGUCAUCGCUUGACAUUAGAAUCUGAAAUCUUUUGUUGUAUCAUUUGUUUUUUGUUUGAAAUAUGCUAUUUUUUUUUUUUAUUAUUAUUUAUAGUAGCAUGUUUUUGUUUGAAAUAUGUUAUGGUUGAAUGCUUGGAGUAACAUAACAUUGACGAUACAUAUCAUAUUUUGUAGGUGAUGAGCUUUUGUCAGACUCUUACCCAUACAAGGAAAUUGAGAAUGGAAUGUUGUGGGAGGUUGAGGGAAAGGUUAGUUUAUUUUCAAGUGCAUUUAUCAAAAUAUUGAAUUAGUUAUGUUACACUUGGGGAUGACAAGCUAAAAACUAUUUGCUUUUGGUGUGCAGUGGGUUGUUAAGGGAGUUGUUGAAGUAGACAUUGGUGCUAACGCUUCAGCUGAAGGUGGAGAAGAUGAGGGUGUUGAUGACUCAGCUGUCAAGGUUGUCGACAUUGUUGACGUAUUCAGACUUCAGGUCAGGACAGUCAAACACCUCUUUAUAUCCUUAGAUGAUACAGUUUUAAUUUAUUUUUUUGAGCUCGCCACUUUCAGAGGUUAAUUAUUUUGUUAUGUGUUGACUGUUAUAGGAACAACCAUCUUUUGACAAGAAGCAGUUUCUUGGCUUUGUUAAGAGGUAUAUUAAGUUGCUGACACCCAAACUAGAUGCAGAGAAACAAGAGCUAUUUAAAAAGCACAUUGAGGGAGCAACCAAAUACCUGCUCGGCAAGCUCAAGGACCUUCAAUUGUAAGUGAACCUCUAUUAUGCUCAUUCAAGAAAAAUUCAUAGUUUUCUGUUUAUAUAGUUACAUUUGUUUCAUAAUAUUUGUCAUUUGAGGCUGAUUGUAUUAUUUUGUAUUGAUUAUUAUUAUUAUUAUUAUUAUUAUUAUUAAAUCAAUAGACAAUAAUGUUUUUUGCGAAUAUAUUUUGAAAUUGAGUUGAAUUCCUGUUGUGCAGCUUUGUUGGUGAGAGCAUGCAUGAUGAUGGUAGCUUGGUUUUCGCCUACUACAAGGAUGGUGCUGCUGAUCCAACGUUUCUCUACUUCGCUUAUGCUUUGAAGGAAAUCAAGUGUUAAGUGUUGUACUACUCUAGUUUUUCUGCCCUAAUUUAUCAUGUUUUUGUUCUACAUUGUGUUCUAAGUUACUCGAGAGUUGAGACU